GUAAGGCUUCCCAGAAGAAGUGGCAUUUGAGAAGCGCCUUCAAUAAGGACCAGUGUCAUCACUGGAAGUGGAACAAUUAGAAAGGGGGUUUGGAUCAGAUGUGUGAGAGUCUUCAAAUACCUGGCCUAGAAGUCAGGCCUCCGUCGUCCUCGUGCGUGUUUGGAAACGUUUACUGGUUCCUUGGUUUAUCGCGCUAUCUGAGUGGUUGGCCCUUCAGUGCCAGUGGAGCCAGCGGUGCACUAGGAUCUCCCGUUAGUGCCUUCAGGCCCGCCGGGAACCUUCCUCUGCACUGCCCUGAUCCCCAGGAGGCUGACCCAUGCAGACUGCAUCAGCUGGGGUGCUGGUUGUGUGUGUGCAUGCCCCGUCACGGAGUUGCGUCUGACCCUUUGUGACCCCAGGGACUGUAGCCCACCGGGCUCCUCUGUCCAUGGGGAUUUCCCAGAUGCAGAGUUCUAAGCCUGGGUCCCUGAAUCACCAUGUGGAGCGAAGCUGCCUGCCAACUAGAAUCACCAGCAUUGGAGCAUGAUUUGUAUUGGUGAUCUGAAGAAGCUUGUAAGACCCAGAAGCCUCUGUGUUAUUGCAGCUUAGAAGCUGCAAUAACAGGCCAGGAUCAGGGUUCAAAUCCCCACUCUGACUCUUCCUGGCUCCAUGACACUGGACCAAUGACUUCACCUCUCUGUGCCUCAGUUUCCUCAUCUGUAAAGUGGGACCCCUUCCACCAGUCGUGGGACUCCUGAGGCAGAAUCGCACCUGCUUCACUUCGGGCCUCAAGCACAGACCUGGAGUUGACACCCAAGCCCCGCUCCUGCAGGACUUGACAUUUAUCCCCUGUCUUCCAACACCUUGUCGUGGAGGAAGAAGGACGUCUAUAGGAAUGAGACCUGUGCCACUGGGGCUUUGUGAGGGGGAGCCCUGACAUCUUAGAGAUGCCCUGAAAGCCCGGCUACAGAGAAAUCUCCUGGGACACAACAAGUUCUCAGUGACUGACGACGACUCCUAUGCUUCUGCUCUUCAGAUGGUUGAAUGAGUUUGGGACAUGUUGCAUGAUGGAGCAUUCUUCAAGAUUCUUGAUGCAGAGCGAGAUAAUACAGAUGCUGGUCACAUGGACAUAUUUUGCUUCUGGAAGUUGGGCUCUGAGCUUUCCCUGUCUCUGAACUCUCUCCAGUGCCAAUAACUCAGGGCUUGUCACAUGAUAGACGCAUGCAUGUGUGUGCACGCUAAGUUGCUUGCUUUAGUCGUGUCCAACUGUUUGCGAACCCGUGGACUGUAGCUGGCCAGCCUCCUCUGUCCAUGGGAUUCUCCAGGCAAGAAUACCCCCUGGAGUGGGUUGCCAUGCCCUUCUCCAGAGGAUCUUCCCAACCCCGGGAUUGAAGCUGCGUCUCUUAAGUCUCCUGCAUUGGCAGGAGGGUUCUUUACUAGUGACACCUGGGAAGCCCCCACAGAUGCACAGUAAACGCUGAAUGGAUCAGCAUCCUUUCUCCAGUCUCAAUCUCCUUAUUUGCUAACUCCUCCUCACUUUCCCAUUUUCCCUGCCUCAGAUUGUCUCCUUUUCCUGGCCUCCGCCUUCUGCCCUUCAGCACCCCCUUGUGGUCUCUAAGCACAUCACGACCUUAGCUGUCUCUGCAGUGAUCCAGGCCUCCAUCAUGCUUGUCUAACUGGCUCUGUCUCCAGAGACACUGCCCGCAUGCAUUCCAAACCCAGCAGGGACACUGUUGCCUGCUCCGUGCCAGCUCCUUAGCCAGACAUUCAAGGCUCACUACCUCCUAGCCCUAUGGGGGUGGUCUGGUCCCCAGGUAGAAUCUAGGAAGCCACUUUUAAACCAGCUUACCCCAAGGAAUCCUGCUUCCCUGCAGGAUAUUAAUAUAGCUAGCUCCGUUCUCCUUAGAUUAGUGUUUGCUGGGUAGAUCCUUUCCUGUACUUUCCUUUUAAACUGAUUUGUAUCUUUAUAUUCCAAGUGGGUUGCUGUAGACAACAUAUGGCUAAGUCUUACUUUUUUAUCCAGUCUGACAAUAUCUACCUCCUGUGUGGAUGCUAUUUAAAUUUAAUGUGACUAUUGGUAUGAUUGGGUUUAUAUCGACCUUCUUGCUGUCUGCUUUCAAUCCGUCCUACCUAGUCUUUAUCUUACCCUCACCUCUUUUUCUGCUUUUCCUUUCUUUUGGCCAAUCAACUACUUUUAUGGUUCUAUUUUCUGUUCCUUGUUGGCUUAUUUCAUGCCCAAUUGUUAAGCAGUUGAUUUCAGGUUUGCAUGUGUGCGUGCUCAGUCGCAAGCAGUCGUGUCCAACGCUUUUCUGACCCCAUGGACCGCAGCCCUCCAGGCUCCUCUGUCCGUGGAAUUUUCCAGGCAAGAAUACUGGAGUGGGUUGCCAUUUCUUUCUCCAGGGAAUCUUCCUGACCCAAAGAUUGAAACUGUGUCUCCCGCAUUGGCAGGCAGAUUCUUUAGCACUGUGCUGUACUGCGUCUUCAGCUUAUUACAGUCUCUAUAUUCAAGUAUGCCCACGUGUCAUGGAAGAACCUACAAUAGGACAUUUCAUUCUCCAUCAGCUUUUUGAGCUAUUACUGUCGUGCAUCUUAUUCUCCUUAU
ensembl:lncRNA